UGGGCUCAUUCAUGCAGCUUUGCUGGAAGGCCCAAGGUGGCCUCAUUCAUACGUCCAGCAGCGGGUGCUGGUUGUUGGCUGGGGCAUUGCGGUUCUGUGGGUGGCCUCUCAACCUCCACAAGCUAGACUGGCCUUGUUACGUGGCAUUCUCAGGGCAGCAUCCAAGAGUUGUAGGCUCAGAAGUCUGAUAAAGUCACUUCCUCUCAUUUUUUGAUCAAAGCAAGUCAAAGACCAGCCUGGAGCCUCCUCAUUCCUCAUUGGCUCCUUGCAGCACAUGCCCGUUCUUGGACCAAUCAUUAGCAGGGGGAUAAGAUUACCCCUAGACCCAUCAGUGCUCUCAAGGACCCGGGGAUGGGGUGUCUUCCCCCAGGCACCUGGGCUGAUUGGGGGGGUGGGGGAGUUGCCAUUGCUAACCACUGUUAAUGUUGGGUGGAAUUCCUUUCCAGGCAUUUUACAGACCCAAAAAAAUGCGAAGGGUCUUCCCAGCCGCCAGGCUUACACUGAGAACACUUUCUGGGAUGUUCUUGGGACUGUGACCUGAAUGGGGACCACGGAUCCUGGGCAAAAUCAUGCAAUGACUUUCCUCUUCCUAGGAGCAGGAAUGUAGACGUGAUGGCAGUGCCAGAGCAGUUACCUUGGACCAUGAGGUGGAAACUGCCGGUUGAAGAUGGAAGAGCAGCUGUAAGAUAGCAAGAAUCUGAGUCCCUGAUACCACGAAGCUGAUGUGGGCUCGGCGAGCUGAGGAGUCAGAAGAAAGAUUUCUUGGAGUCUUAAGGUCUGGUAGUAGUGCUCUUUUAUUCAGAGAAUAGCAUGGCGACAGGACCCAUGGGCAGUGAAGAGCUGCAAUGGAUUGAGGGCAGGGCUAAAUUUAUAAGGUGUAGGUGUAUGAGUUAUCUCUUUACAAGACAAAGGAAAGAUCAUGUAAAAAAGUCAUUAAAAUGGUAUCAGUGCAGGUGGGGUCUGGUUAUUGGGUGGUCCUAUAACUUUGGAUAUGAGUCAGGUCGAAUCAGUUCAGGAUGUCCUAUGCUUCCUGGAGGGUGAUAUAGAUUGACAUGUAGGCCAGGACGCCUUGGGCUUCUCUCCCUGGGGCAGCCUUGAUCCUCAUCAUGAAGUCCUCCCUGAACCCAUUUGGCCUGGAAAUCCUUUGGCGAUAUGGACAAUGGUCAGUCUUCUGUAACUACUCCCGGCCGUACAAGGUCGUAGAGCUGUCCCUAAAUGGGGACCACAGGGGUACAGGCAGGACGUUCAGUGGACUGGAAGGUUGCAUCCAUGGAGUCCAAGGCUGACAAGGUGUACAGAUCCCCUGGAGAUGAGAGAAUCAUUUGAUGAGAGGUGGUCCAGGAGGCGAAACUUUGUUGACAUGUGGAAGACAAUGAAACAGACAACAAAUUAUAAUAGGAAAUACAAGCAAUGUGACUAACCCAAUGAAUGAGGCUUUGAUAGUAGUCCAGAGACCUGGACCUGACCAGGAGUCCAACCAAGCAUUUAGGGACAGGGUGGGGUCAGACAUGGAUUUAAUUUGGUGGCUCAUAUCAGAUAGGAAGCCAGAGAUAUUUUGAUGGUAGUCAGGAAUAUAGACACAACGUUCAGUUUUUGUAAUGGCACAAGUGCCCCCCCGUGCCACCGUCAAGACAUCCAGUGCCGUUUGGUUUUGGAGGACCCCCUUACGCAUUUGGGAUACUUCUAAAUUGAGCAGUGAAAGGCUAUGUUGUGUAUCGUUUAAUGCCUUCAUGCUAAGUUGGCCUAGGGCUUCCAUGUGCCAGAUGACACUUUCAAUUCCUAAUUGGGGAAAGAAAAUUGAGGCAAGGUGAUCACAUCAGUGGAAGACAGAAUGGGUCCAGCGUUGUCACAGCUUGGGUAGGUUAGCAGGAGGAGAUAUAGUAAAUGUAGUUCUGCCUUGCAUCCAGACGAAACCUAGGGUGCAUUGUCCAAGCCAUCUAGGCGGCAGCCAAGGCCAUAGGUUGGAGCCACAUAGCCACUGAGUGCCAUUAGGGGCUAACCAAUGUACGCUGGGCCAUCUAUCCCAGUCAGUCCCAAACCAAUCAGUAUUUCUUAAGGCUAUGAUAUGAGAACACACAUAAUGGGGAAUUUUCCCCAUAGGUUGGGUGCUAUUAGGCCAUAUAUCACAGGUGUGAUUGGUUUGUUCCCAACAUAGUGGCCUUUUGACUGAGUUGACCACUAGUAGGAGUGAGCCAAAUAUAUUCAUCCCAAAUUUGAUAUAGUCCAUCCUGUGUGUAUUGAUAGGUUGGGGACUUUACCUUAGGAAACUCAUUGUUUAUGAUCCACCUGUGACAAGGCAAAUCUAGUUAGAAUUUGGGCAGUAGAGUUGAAGGAAAAGGUUUGAUUGUGGCCAGGGAACUCCCAGGUAUCAGAGACGGAUGGCCACAAGGAGACAUUAUGAUUAGUAACAGAUGAAUCUUGUAGAAGAGAAGAGCUGGAAUCUAAUACCCAUGAAUGUGUACUAUAGCUUCUACUGAAACAAUUUUUCUCUCUAAAAUCACCCUCAUUUUUACAAAAGAUAGCCAAAUUAAGAUUAACUGGUUUGCAAAAUAAGUUUAGUUUCAAUAAAACUUGGUCCAAUUAUUUACAUAAGUGCAGCAAGAAUUGGUCAUAUAGGCUCUUUUAAAUCUGCUUUGCUGGAUUUUUUUAUGAGGAAUCUCAGAUUGAACUUUCAACGCCUCUUGAGGCCAGGAAAGCCAAGCCAAGGACU
ensembl:lncRNA